rnacentral:rRNA from 1 species
CGAACGCUGGCGGCGCGUCUAAGCAUGCAAGUCGAACGGCAAGGCAGGUGCUUGCACCUGCCCUAGAGUGGCGGACUGGUGAGUAACACGUGGGUGACAUGCCUUUAGUUGGGGAUAGCUACUAGAAAUAGUAGAUAAUACCGAAUGUGAUCAAUAUUUAUAGAUGAUGUUGAGGAAAGGAGCUAAGGCUUCGCUAAAAGAUUGGCCCGCGGCCCAUUAGCUAGUUGGUAGGGUAAAGGCUUACCAAGGCGAUGAUGGGUAUCCGGCCUGAGAGGGUGAUCGGACAUAUUGGGACUGAGAUACGGCCCAGACUCCUACGGGAGGCAGCAGCUAAGAAUAUUCCACAAUGGACGAAAGUCUGAUGGAGCGACGCCGCGUGGAUGAUGAAGGCCGAAAAAGGUUGUAAAAUCCUUUUACACUGGAGGAAUAAGCAGAGUAGGGAAUGACUCUGUGAUGACUGUACAGUUUGAAUAAGCAACGGCUAAUUACGUGCCAGCAGCAGC